AGACUGGAAACCCCUGCAAGUCAAUUCAAAUGCAAGUACUCAUUUGACCUCAGAUUGCAGCUUCAGAUGAAGGCUGUGUGCUAAACAAGUCCUUGUGUGAUUGAGUUUCCUGCUUUCAAUGUGUCCAUGAGCGUUUGAAGAUGAAAAUCUAAUUCCAAGAGAGGCAUAUCAUAAAACGGAAGGAUAAAAUGAAGAGAUGAAAGAGAAAGCAGGAAGGGCGAAAGGAACAACAAAAAAAAACCAGACAAAUG